rnacentral:rRNA from 1 species
CCUACGGGAGGCAGCAGUGAGGAAUAUUGGUCAAUGGACGUAAGUCUGAACCAGCCAAGUAGCGUGAAGGAUGACUGCCCUAUGGGUUGUAAACUUCUUUUAUAAAGGAAUAAAGUCGGGUAUGCAUACCCGUUUGCAUGUACUUUAUGAAUAAGGAUCGGCUAACUCCGUGCCAGCAGCCGCGGUAAUACGGAGGAUCCGAGCGUUAUCCGGAUUUAUUGGGUUUAAAGGGAGCGUAGGUGGAUUGUUAAGUCAGUUGUGAAAGUUUGCGGCUCAACCGUAAAAUUGCAGUUGAAACUGGCAGUCUUGAGUACAGUAGAGGUGGGCGGAAUUCGUGGUGUAGCGGUGAAAUGCUUAGAUAUCACGAAGAACUCCGAUUGCGAAGGCAGCUCACUAGACUGUCACUGACACUGAUGCUCGAAAG